rnacentral:rRNA from 1 species
UGAAGGAACAAAAAACCGAAGUCAUGAGCGGUUACCAUAUUAAAAGAAUGUGGGGCGUAAUGCUAAUAGUUCGAAGUAAAUUUUGAUAAUGACAUUAAUUACUCCUCGGUCUUGACCAACUCAUGUGCCAGCAGUCGCGGUAAGACAUGGAAGGCCAGCGUUAUUCAUCUUUAUUAGGUUUAAAGGGUACCUAAACGGUAAAUAGUUAGCUUUUUUCUUAAAAGAUAAUUGUACUUUAAUUACUAGAGUUAGAUGAAAGGAAUUCAGAUGGGUGAGUGGAGGGAUAAAAUCUAUUGAUACCACCAGAAACUGGCUUAGGUGAAGGCAGGUUCCUAUGUAAUAACUGACGUUGAGGGACGAAGGCUCAACAAAAGCAACAGGAUUAGUUACCCCAGUACUAAGAGCAGACAAUUAUGAAUGCCAUAUGUAAGAAAAAGAAUUUUUAUGUAUAAAUGAAAGUGAAAGCAUUUCACCUCAAGAGUAAUAUGGCAACAUAUAAACUGAAAUCAUUAGGCCGUGUCUGGAAUUCGUAGUGAAGUAUGUUAUUUAAUUUGAUAGCCCACAAAGGACCUUACCACAGUGUGUAUAGUUAUAUACUUAGGUAUAUAUCGGACAAGUGUUGCACGGCUGUCUACAGUUGAUAUCGUGAGAACUAAUUAACUUUAGCAAUCAACGUAAUCCCUAACUUUAUUUAGAAUAAAGUACCAAAUCCGACAUAGGAAUACCCAAUCGGAUCUAAUAUAUGGGAACAUGACAAGUCAUCAUGGCCA